GCCAAAAGUCAUUUUAGGGCUGGAAUAGUAAUUACAGCAUUAAUCAGAUUCAGUGUAUGGUUAAACACGGCGGAGAGGCGCGUCGAUCACUGCGCUCCGGUGCCGCUUCCUCUGGCUCUGGCUUCCACCUCAACAUCGACUCCAAUCAUUCACUGCCUCUCUCCGGUCACAAGAGACCGAAUCACUACUCUAUUUACCGCUGUUUUGUGGGAGAUACUAUUGAGGUUGUUCUUCCUAAGGAUAAGCGGACUGGAUUACAGCAGGGUUUGUGAUCAACCAUUGAUUGUGCGGUUUGCAGAUCAGAAGUAGCCCCAAAUAUGGGAUUCAAGAUGGAGAGAUGUGCAGUGUGCCUUCCGUUUCUCAGUUAUAUGAUAUAGCUGGACGACCAUUUUUCUGGAGAGAUGGAGGAUCUAUGCCAGAUUGCCAGUAUUCUCACUCAGGAUGCAAGAUAGUAACAAUGGCAAACAAGGAUUCUGCACCCGUAACCAGAGCAUUUGAUUCCAGUGCUGAGGUAGAGUCUGUAGAAUGUGACUGGAGCAAGCAUGUUUUUCCUGAUGGAGAUUUGUACCAUUAUAACUGUGUGACAUGUGAAAGCAGGUGGGAGAACCCUGUGGAGCUCAGUAUGCAAUUUAUGAACAAGAACUUGAUGGCCUAGAAGAACAGCAACAACACCUGCAUGAAUCAAAUUUACACACUUUUGUCCCAGGAGGUGUUAGAAGCCCAAAAGGUACCUGCACUCGCAUGACUCCAAGAGUUAAUACAAAGGAAGCAUAGCUGCUGGAAUCACAUAUGGUUAGUUUCAGCUGACUACCUUGUAUUUCAGUUGAGUUAUUCAAGUAUGUUACAACUGUGUCUUAUGUGAGUUAGAGGGUAUAACUUGUCUGUAACACUUUUUCAUUCAAGUUGUAUUCUGGAAUUUAUAUGUUAAUGCUGCAAAACAAUCAUAAUCCCGAGGGAAUUAGUUUCA